rnacentral:rRNA from 1 species
ACGUAGGGGGCGAGCGUUGUCCGGAGUUACUGGGCGUAAAGGGCGCGUAGGCGGUCAGCACAAGUCAGUUGUGAAAUCUCCGGGCUUAACUCGGAAAGGUCAACUGAUACUGUGCGACUAGAGUGCGGAAGGGGCAACUGGAAUUCUCGGUGUAGCGGUGAAAUGCGUAGAUAUCGAGAGGAACACCUGCGGCGAAGGCGGGUUGCUGGGCCGACACUGACGCUGAUGCGCGAAAGCCAGGGGAGCGAACGGGA